rnacentral:lncRNA from 1 species
GUCUUUCCCCACUUUUAUUUUGUUGACCUUAUGACUGUCUUCGGGGCCUAUUUGAUUCGAACAAUUAAGCCUGAGGGGUUUCUAACCUGGUGCCCUAUGGUCAUCUGACUUGGGAGUCACCGGCCCAAAGUUCGUUACUAGGGUCAUUUAUGUCGCCUAAUGGGGAUAGCAUUGCACUUAAGUUCUUUUGUUGAAAAAAAAAGGGAAGAAAUAUGGAAUCAUACAGUUAGGGGGAGUAAAAUUGUGACAAUCGUAAUAUUUGAUAUAGGUCGUCGUGGAAUUGGAUUUGACUGUUACUUGGUAGACAUACACCUCUGUCUGGUUGUUUUCACGUGUCCUUUCUCACUAAUUUAAGGUUUUGAGUCUCACUUGCAUGGACUACGUAGCACUUUUCACGGUGAUGUUCUGUAUACACUUUACUCCACGGGAUUUUGAACUAUGUGUGGACUUACGAUUUGUCUAUGUGCUGAGUGUCAGGGUUGUGACUUUAUGCUUAUUGUUGGUGUAGUUUACAUAAUUGGUCCCAUGCUUCAUUUUUUUUU